rnacentral:rRNA from 1 species
ACGCGCAGAACCUUACCAACCCUUGACAUCCUGUGCUACUACCAGAGAUGGUACGUUCCCUUCGGGGACGCAGUGACAGGUGCUGCAUGGCUGUCGUCAGCUCGUGUCGUGAGAUGUUCGGUUAAGUCCGGCAACGAGCGCAACCCACAUCUUUAGUUGCCAUCAGGUUAAGCUGGGCACUCUAGAGAAACUGCCCGUGAUAAGCGGGAGGAAGGUGUGGAUGACGUCAAGUCCUCAUGGCCCUUACGGGUUGGGCUACACACGUGCUACAAUGGCAGUGACAAUGGGUUAAUCCCCAAAAGCUGUCUCAGUUCGGAUUGGGGUCUGCAACUCGACCCCAUGAAGUCGGAAUCGCUAGUAAUCGCGUAACAGCAUGACGCGGUGAAUACGUUCCCGGGCCUUGUACACACCGCCCGUCACACCAUGGGAGUUGGUUCUACCCGACGACGCUGCGCUAAC